rnacentral:rRNA from 1 species
UUGAUCUCAAAUCAGGUAGGACUACCCGCUGAACUUAAGCAUAUCAAUAAGCGGAGGAAAAGAAACUAACAAGGAUUCCCCUAGUAACUGCGAGUGAAGCGGGAAGAGCUCAAAUUAAAAAUCUGACGUGCCUCUGGUCGUCCGAGUUGUAGUCUGGAGAAGCGUUUUCCGUGUUGGACCGUGUAUAAGUCUCUUGGAACAGGGCGUCAUAGAGGGUGAGAAUCCGUNNNNNACACGNACUACCANUGCUUGUGAUGCGCUCUCAAAGAGUCGAGUUGUUUGGGAAUGCAGCUCAAAAUGGGGUGGUAAAUUCCAUCUAAAGCUAAAUAUAGGCGAGAGACCGAUAGCGAACAAGUACCGU